rnacentral:misc_RNA from 1 species
AAGUCGUAACAAGGUUUCCGUAGGUGAACCUGCGGAAGGAUCAUUAUCAAUUUGAUUCAUUCAAAAUCGUGUGAACCGUUUACCUGACUCCCACUGCUUUGGGGGAAGCUACUCGGCUUGGGAAACUAAGCUGGGUCUGGCGCUUGUCGCCAGUGGCCGCGUGUUAAGCGUGUGCUGGUUCCCCCAAAGUAUGGCUUGCUUAUACUUUUCUGUUCAAUCAUGGCUAAAAUCUAAGCUGACUUUAUGAGAAACAGGUAACGCUGUCUCUGUUGGCGAACAAAGUUUUAUACAACUUUCAGCAAUGGAUCUCUCGGCUCUU